GUCUGUUCUUCGGUGCUUGCUCGGCCGUCAAUCUAAUCGCCACAACAACUGCCUGCAGGAAUCUAUCAUCGUGCUUGUCUGGAUUUCAACAACUGCAUUAAGGCUUCUAUUUUGUUGUUGACACCAGCAUUUGCAAGGCUUAUUUUGCGACUUAAUCUUCAGCCUCCUGAAUUUGUUACUGGUACUUAUUAUUUUGAGUUGGUCUUAUGAAGUAUUACAUUUACAUUUACUCUCUUUCGCCUAGUUACAAUCAGAUCUGUCUGUUCUUUUAGACUUUGAGUUAGCGCUCCCUAGUCAAAUCCUAUUCUGCUAUGGUUCCAGCUAGCCUCUUGCUUGUAGGGGAUAAGAAAAGG